CACAAAAAUAAUCCAGAAGGUGGAGCAACACUUUUUUGAUGCAAGCCGUGGUUAAACCUCGAAGAAGAAGCGUCUGGCGACAUGACGUCAAAAGACCGCGCCGCGUUCCUGCAUCUGUGGUGAUUCGACUGAAGAAAGACACAGAAAUAUUCCCAGUGAAGUGACUAAGGAGCACUUGACGCUCUAUUAUAAAGAUGGCGUCAAUUAAAGAGGAGAGUGAAGACCUGCAGAUCGAAGAAGCAUUCAGUGUCAAACAAGAAGAGGAACAGACAGACCUGAUGACACUGAAAGUAGAGAAUGAAGAACUGAAAGAAAUAGAAGAGAAAGGUCAAUAUGAGAGACAUGUUUUCGCGGCUGUAGAAAAAUCCACAUCGACUGAAUCUAA